UUUAUUUCUAUUAUCGUUUAAUUGAAUAAAAAAUUAAUUUUAAUAAGUAAAUUUAAUAAACACAACCAUGUAAGUAUCAUAUAUUGCAUAAUCAAAUAAUUUUAUCUACAUUAAUCUCUUGUUUCUUCUAGUUUUUCUUUCGGUUAAUGAUUUUUUUCUCUCAUUUAUUUAUACAAAUAAAUAUUAAUUUAUACUAAUUUAAAAUACUUGCAUAUUUAAUACACUACCCGAGACAUAGCAUGAGUCAAAUAACUAGUGUUGACUAACUAAAUUGUAUGCAUGUGUUCUUUGUUCUCUUCCAAGUGGUCUUGUGAUGAUAGUUUUAAAACUUGGCCUGACGGGCUAACUGACCCCUAAGUUAGAACCGAACUGAAUUUAUA
rnacentral:lncRNA from 1 species